GUAUAAUACUAAACUACUACGCCAUGUUUGGUAUCAAUCGAAAGCUUAGCCUCUCGCCCGGCCAAAGGUUACAUGUUUAAAAUUAACCUAAGAAGGACAUGACCUCUAUUAGCAUACUAAAAUUUGAAGAAGACGUCUUUUGAUUGGUCAGUAGGUUUGGUUUCGUUUUGGCUCGAACCUGAUUGGUCCGCUUGUUUAAAAUUUGACAUUUUGUCAUCAACCGAGACCCACGAUGCAUCGCUUCCGGCGACGCCUAGCCUGAUAAACACGCAGCUAACUUUUGUUUGCUAAUGCGAUCACUGUACAUUCUUGAACUAUUUCGCAAGUUUAUUGUCAUUUGGAUAUCAAAACCAGACUUAGAUGGACCUACACGCACAGUACGCAGCUGACAGAAGAUGCCAAACAAAAAAGGAAUAGUAUUUAGUUGUUGGAGAAGACAACCGAAGUUUUUUGGAUACCUAAAAAUAUACUUCUGCUAGCAACAAGAGAUGAGAACACCUGACAAGGGCCAAAUCUGCAAUGGAAUAUCUGAUAGGCAGGACUUGGGCAAUACAAGUAAAAGUUCUGCAACUAGAGGCUUCAAAUUUGGCAUACUGAUUCAGUGUGGUCUUGUCUACAUAAUUACAUGUUGAAAUGUAUUAGGGCUGUAUAUUAAGAUUUUUAUGGCUGUUUGUGUGCAGGAAACCCCCAAAAAAUGGUAAAAUUUGGGGGGUACCCUCAUCUUUUUGUCAACUGUUGAUUUUCCUUUACUCACAGGCUCAUGAGCACAUGUAUUUAUAUUCAGUACAUUAUGUUCAAUGUAAUUACUUAAAUUUAUUGAGUUUUGUCAACUAAGUUUUGUGAUAUUGCAUUUUUUGUGAAUUUAUAAAUUUGUACCAUAACGACCCAAAAUCUUCAAUAAAAGUCAGAAAAAUUAUUUUUUUCAAAAAUAAUACAGCUUUUUAUAUUUGUUAUUUGGUUGUUGUUAUUAUACAU